AGUGAACGCUGGCGGUAGGCCUAACACAUGCAAGUCGAACGGCAGCACAGAGGAGCUUGCUCCUUGGGUGGCGAGUGGCGGACGGGUGAGGAAUACAUCGGAAUCUACUCUGUCGUGGGGGAUAACGUAGGGAAACUUACGCUAAUACCGCAUACGACCUACGGGUGAAAGCAGGGGACCUUCGGGCCUUGCGCGAUUGAAUGAGCCGAUGUCGGAUUAGCUAGUUGGCGGGGUAAAGGCCCACCAAGGCGACGAUCCGUAGCUGGUCUGAGAGGAUGAUCAGCCACACUGGAACUGAGACACGGUCCAGGCGCCUACGGGAGGCAGCAGUGGGGAAUAUUGGACAAUGGGCGCAAGCCUGAUCCAGCCAUACCGCGUGGGUGAAGAAGGCCUUCGGGUUGUAGAGCCCUUUUGUUGGGAAAGAAAUCCAGCUGGCUAAUACCCGGUUGGGAUGACGGUACCCAAAGAAUAAGCAUCGGCUGACUUCGUGCCAGCCGCCGCGGUAA
rnacentral:rRNA from 1 species